rnacentral:rRNA from 1 species
UACAGAGGGUGCGAGCGUUAAUCGGAAUUACUGGGCGUAAAGCGUGCGCAGGCGGUCUGUUAAGACCGAUGUGAAAUCCCCGGGCUUAACCUGGGAACUGCAUUGGUGACUGGCAGGCUUUGAGUGUGGCAGAGGGGGAUGGAAUUCCGCGUGUAGCAGUGAAAUGCGUAGAUAUGCGGAGGAACACCGAUGGCGAAGGCAAUCCCCUGGGCCUGCACUGACGCUCAUGCACGAAAGCGUGGGGAGCAAACAGG